rnacentral:rRNA from 1 species
UACAGAGGUCUCAAGCGUUGUUCGGAUUCAUUGGGCGUAAAGGGUGCGUAGGUGGGCGCGGAAAGUCGGGUGUGAAAUUUCGGAGCUUAACUCCGAAACUGCAUUCGAUACUUCCGUGCUUGAGGACUGGAGAGGAGACUGGAAUUUACGGUGUAGCAGUGAAAUGCGUAGAGAUCGUAAGGAAGACCAGUGGCGAAGGCGGGUCUCUGGACAGUUCCUGACACUGAGGCACGAAGGCCAGGGGAGCAAACGGG